UAUAAAUAUGAAGCAAUGAUUAAUUUAGAUUUGGAUUUGGUGGUCAUAUUGUAAACUCAUAUAGGGUGAUAGUGCAUUAGCGACAUGAAUGUGCAAGUUUUUAUUGAAUUUCUGCUCUACGUGGGAAACGUUCUAUUUCUAUUGUUUGUCGUGGUUCCAUAUUAUUGGCUAAAAAGUUUAUAUCAUAUUUUGAAUCCUUCUCAGCCAAAAUCCGUUAAAGGUGAAAUUGUAUUGAUUACUGGAACCGGUCAUGGAAUAGGAAAAGAAUUGGCAUUAAUGUACGCGGCAAAUGGUGCUACCGUGGUGGGAUGGGAUAUAAAUGAAAGUAAUAAUGAAGAAACCAUGCGUCAUUUAAAAAGUCUGGGAUUUUCUUUAGUAUAUGCUUACAAAUGUGAUGUAUCCAACAGAAAGGAUGUAUUGGAAGUAGCAAAAAAAGUCCUGAGAGAUGUAGGUGAAGUAACGAUUUUAAUUAAUAACGCCGGCAUUAUGCCAACACACUCGUUUUUGGAUCAUACUCCAGAAGAGAUUGAUAGAAUUAUACGAAUUAACGUAUUCGCACACUUUUGGACCUUGGAAGCCUUCUUGCCUGCAAUGAAAAAAAAUAACCAUGGUCAUGUGGUAUGCUUAUCCUCAAUGGCCGGAUUGUUGGGACUGAAUAAUUUGGUUCCAUAUUGUGCCUCUAAAUAUGCGGUAAGGGGUUUGAUGGAAGGACUAGAAGAGGAGUUCAGGAGAAUACCAAACAACAGGGUACAUUUCACAACAAUAUGUCCGUUCAUGGUAGACACCGGACUAUGCAAGAGACCGGACAUAAGAUUUCAAUAUUUCAAUAAGGUUUUAAAACAAAGUGACGUGGCGAAAGAGAUUUUUAAAGCUCAAGUUACCAAUCAGCGUUUAGUUAAGUUACCUCCCGAAAUUGGAAUUAUAUUUACCUUAAUCCCGAAAACUGGUAACGCUGCAACAGUCUCUUUGGUGAAACCAUUUAUUUGCCGAAAGUCUUAAAAGAAAUUAACCAACGAAAGGAACCAACUGCCGAAGAUGAAUCACUCUCCACGACGACAAUGCUAGCUCUCACCGAUCAGCGCAAACAAAGAACUUUUGGAGCAUUAAAAACGUUAAUUUGAUGAGCCAUCCACCAUAUAGUCCUGAUUUAGCACCUAAUCAUUUCUUUUUUUCCCAUAAAUUUAAAAUAAAUUACGUGGGCACCAGAAGAAGCGAGUGAUGCGUCUAAAAAGCAUGUUUUGGAGGUGCCCGAAUCGAUAUGGGAAAAGAUGGCUACAAUUUUAAGGACGGAGGCUCAUCCAAAAGAAGCCCUAAAGCUUUUCUUUUGCUUAUCAGAAAUGUUUUCAUUUCUGUACCUGUUGCUCAUUCCGUGCAAAUAAAAAAAUGCUACGAAAAUCGGCAACUAUUGCUUGAGAAAAUCAAAUACGACUAUAAUUCGAUGAUUUCUGGCGACUUAAAUAUUAUGGGACUUCUACUAGGUCAGCUGUAAAAAAUUUCGCGCUCUCUCAGAUGCACGAUUAGAGGAGGAAAUGUUGUAGAUCCUCAAAUACGGCGAUUAAUGGAAGAUGAAGCGUUUGAUCAAAUGAUCGAAUUUGAAAAAGUUGCAUGGAUUUUAGUUAGUGAUGUUAUAAAAGGUUCCUAGGAAACAACAAAUGUCCAAAUUACAAAGACAUUGUAGAAAACAUGUUAUAGAAAUUGGACUACUUUCCCGGAAAUCUUGGUGCCGUGAAGCAAGGUGAGAGGUUCCACCAAGAUACUAAACAAAUGGAGCGCAGAUAUCAAGGUCGAUGGAAGGUUCCGAUGAUGUCGGAUUACUGCUGGCCAUGAAAUAUUCAAGAAAAUUCACUAAACGAAGUUUUUCGGCCAAGAGGGAGAGAUUUUCCAAAAAUAAAUGGACUUAACUAUUGUUUGAGACGACUUUG